AUUGAACGCUGGCGGAAUGCUUUACACAUGCAAGUCGAGCGGCAGCGCGGGGCAACCUGGCGGCGAGCGGCGAACGGGUGAGUAACAUAUCGGAACGUACCCUGUCGUGGGGGAUAACGAAUCGAAAGAUUCGCUAAUACCGCAUACGACCCGAGGGUGAAAGCGGGGGAUCGCAAGACCUCGCGCGAUGGGAGCGGCCGAUAUCGGAUUAGCUAGUUGGUGAGGUAAAGGCUCACCAAGGCGACGAUCCGUAGCUGGUCUGAGAGGACGACCAGCCACACUGGGACUGAGACACGGCCCAGACUCCUACGGGAGGCAGCAGUGGGGAAUUUUGGACAAUGGGCGCAAGCCUGAUCCAGCCAUUCCGCGUGAGUGAAGAAGGCCUUCGGGUUGUAAAGCUCUUUCGGCAGGAACGAAACGGUCGUCUCUAACAUAGAUGGCUAAUGACGGUACCUGAAGAAGAAGCACCGGCUAACUACGUGCCAGCCGCCGCGGUAACAC
rnacentral:rRNA from 1 species